AUUGAACGCUGGCGGCAGGCCUAACACAUGCAAGUCGAACGAGUGGCGGACGGGUGAGUAAUGUCUGGGAAACUGCCUGAUGGAGGGGGAUAACUACUGGAAACGGUAGCUAAUAACGCAUACCAUCAGAUGUGCCCAGAUGGGAUUCGCUUGUUGGUGGGGUAACGGCUCACCAAGGCGACGAUCCCUAGCUGGUCUUAGAGGAUGACCAGCCACACUGGAACUGAGAAACGGUCCAGACUCCUGCGGGAGGCAGCAGUGUGGAAUAUUGGACAAUGGGCGACAGCCUGAUCCAGCCAUGCCGCGUUUUUGAAGAAGGUCUUCGGAUUGUAAAGCACUUUAAGUUGUGAGGCGUUACCAACAGAAUAAGCACCGGCUAACUUCGUGCCAGCAGCCGCGGUAAUAC
rnacentral:rRNA from 1 species